rnacentral:rRNA from 1 species
UCGGGAAUUUUGGGCAAUGGGCGAAAGCCUGACCCAGCAACGCCGCGUGAGGGAUGAAGGCCCUCGGGUCGUAAACCUCUGUCGGGAGGGAAGAAUGGGCCGCAGUCAAAUAGGCUGCGGUCUUGACGGUACCUCCAAAGGAAGUGCCGGCUAACUCCGUGCCAGCAGCCGCGGUAAUACGGAGGGCACAAGCGUUGUUCGGAAUCAUUGGGCGUAAAGCGGGUGUAGGCGGCUUGGCAAGUCGAGUGUGAAAUCCCAGGGCCCAACCCUGGAACUGCAUUCGAAACUGUCUCGCUAGAGUCCCGGAGAGGAUGGCGGAAUUCCCGGUGUAGGGGUGAAAUCCGUAGAUAUCGGGAGGAACACCAGUGGCGAAGGCGGCCAUCUGGACGGUGACUGACGCUCAGACCCGAAAGCGUGGGGAGCAAACAGG